rnacentral:lncRNA from 1 species
ACAACUGUCAUAUUCCUGACUUGGUUCAGGCAUUUCCUUAUGUAGAAAAUGGUGAAGUAAACCUGGUUUUAUAGCUAGCUUAACCUCUCACUUGUAUGACAGUCGCAUAAAAUUCCAUUAUAUUGACAACAAUGUGUGAACAAAACAAACAGACAUGAUAGAUAAAAUAUUUAAAUGUAAAAAAUAGGGGUACAGCAGUCAACAUUGUGUUAUAAUCUUAAUCACUAUAAAAAAAAAGACAAAUAUGUCAACAAAGAAAAAUAAAAUGGCAUAUAGACCAAAGCGCAUAGGCAAAAAUAUACAAGAAUACAAAAAUGACCAUAGCACAAUAACACAAUGGCGGGAUGUUUAAGUACUGAGCCACACCAAAAGAUCCCAAAAGGGUAUUACAAAAAAGGGCUAAACAGUAAAAGUAAUUUACGAAGACAAAAAAAGGAACACUACAACACGUAAUUAGGAUGAUAAACAAAACGUCAGUGACUAAAAUUUUUACACACUUCAAGACCAUCAUGUAUUAUUUGUGCAGUUGAAUAUGUAUCAACAAGGUCUUGGGAUCUUCUGAAGAACUUGAGCAAAAGACUCAUCAGUGACGAUCGAAAAAAAAUGUUAAAAAGGCAAAUCAAGCAGAAAGUUGUAUAGCAUUGCGCUAAAACACCACCAAACAACAUAUGGUGCAGAUAGCCUGACUUGAAAGAGGCCAAACAUUUGCUUGGUAGUAGGUUUUCAAAUGUUUUUUGACAUUUGAUAUGUUCUCAACUAUUUGAAAAUAUAAUAUAACCAAACAAUUAUCACUGAUCUGUUUGGAUUUAAAAUCCUUUUUUCUGAUGGAUGAAAGAUAAGUUCAUUUGACAGAACAGAUGCGUUAUGUCAAAAACAUUCGUUGUGAAAUACCAUGUUAUGUUAGCAACAACUAUAUUUACAUAAUAAGAGCAUAUCGUUGCAUUUUUGUUCAAAACUAUAUUUAUGAAGAGGCAUUUUUAUUUACAAAUGUACAAAUAAAAGUAGCUGUUUAAUAAACACAAUAUACAACAAGUUAAUGUCAAAAAUA